AUACAUUUGGCUCAUGUCACGUUGUCCCUGCCCAUGGCUACAUGUCUUUUGUCUGUAAUGCUUUACUAUGUCUUCCUUUUUUCUAGAUGCAACCUACCCCAGAACCUGCCAGCUGCUCCAGCUGCCAUCCCUUCUUCUUCCACCCUACACAACAAGGCAGGAGAAAAUAAACUAACUGAGGCAGUGGCACUUCACAGCACAAUUCCCUGGCUCCUGUCCCACCCCUUCUGCCCUGUGAGUGCCUGCUCGUCCUCUGCUUGGAACUCUUUGGGAGAAGAAAAAUCUGAGCUUUCUGGGCCUGCAAGGCAAGCACCAAAGCAGCAGGUACCAAACACGGACAUCUGUGAAAGUCACUGUGCAGUGAAUAACAAACACCCAAAUGUGGGGCAUCCAGAGAGGCAGCCAGUCCAGCCCUGCACUCCAGCUGCACUCCAAGCACAAAGCUUUUACUGCAGUGACUAUUGACCGAGCCCAGCAGCCCUUUGGAAGGAGAGGCUUCUCAUCCAGCUGUGUAUCAGUGCCUGACUCCCAGAGCUGAUGGCUUUGCUUCAUAAUUUGGCUCUGACAGAGGGGAACAGAGCAGCAAGAGAAGGCAGCAAAUGCAGGAAAACCCUUCUGAACAAGUGGUGCUAAAAAGUACUGUUGAGCCUCUUCUUUGCACAAAUGUUGAAAACAACGCCAUGGCAUAAAAAAGGCUGGCUUUACAAACAGCAUGGUGGAAACCUGCAAGUAAACCAAGCACUAAAUAAGUAUGCAUAACUGGAUUAAUUUAUUUUUAAUAAGGUGCAAUAAUUAAAAUAAUAAUUAGAGAAAGGAAGGGCUCCAUUUUAAAGUUAUUUUCAGACUCACCACAAGUUUUGUUUUCAAAUUUGAGCUUAUACAUACAUACAUAUAUGUAUAAAGGUAAGUUUGUGUAUAAAUAUUACAUACAUAUAAUUUCCUUUAUCUACAUUGCCUUUUUCAUCAUUAAAGAAUUUGAAUCAUCUGCCUUACAUAGAGAAGUUUUAAUAACCAUGUUUGUAUGGGAAAUACAGUGGGUUUUUUCAGCCACUCACUAGUAUCACUUUGUGAAGCCUUAAAUGGCUUUAAAUGCCCUUUAGGCAGGCUUAAUUCUGCUUACUUCAGAGAAAUCUCAACUUACAGAAAGCUGGAAGAGGGGAAUCUUACUCCAGAACAGUAUUGGCCUGAUCCAUUCAAGCAUGAGCUUUUUAUAUCAAGUCUAUAAGCAAUAAUUCUGACCCAUAUGUUUUACUGAAUCAGAGCCUAAUUUUGUAAUAUCCAAUCCAAAUUUAUAUCUUAGUACCUGAACAUUUUGCCUUACCAACUAGAAUGUUGUCCUGCAUAAUUCAUGAAUCUAUGAAUUAUUUUUUAUAUAUCCUCUGACUCUAAUUUUUAAGAAAGAUGUUUGAAAACCAAACCAUAGAAAAACAAAAAUGCUUAACAGUGUUCUGAAACAAACUUAGACCAUGAUGUUGUGAACAGCACUGACAGCAGUGAGGGAUUAUUCACACAUUCAAGAUAAAUCCUAGAUGUAAAUAUUUCCUUGAUCAUAGCUUACACACUUAAGGGUGCAAAAACAAAGCAAAAUAUUUUUGUGCCAAGUCCAAUAAAAACACUUCACAUUAUAUUAAUUUAUAACAUGAAAAUACCCAUAAAACUUGUUCCUACUAAAAAAACCCAAAUCAAAGUGCAGUACCUUUAAUAUUUCUAUUACCUCCCUCUUGGAUGCUUAACAAGCAAAAUAGCAUAAACUUCUAUAGAUGGAUCUUUAGCGCAGUUUAGCAGAGCUCUAUGCAUCCCAUCAGAGCAGUGAAAUGAAGACAGACGGUGCAAUAAGUGCAAGAGCUGUAAAUGAAUGUGAACAGAAAUUGAUUUUGAAAUGUUCUUGGCACUUUCCCAAGAAAAUAUUAUCACUCUGUUUAAAGAGAAGCAUUCCAUGCAUUGUUUCAGGACUAUUAAGAAUAAACUCUGCCCUCCUUAAUUAUUUUCUCUUCUGAGACCUAUUUUCAGUGCACCUGCAACAUUAACAUAAAAACCAAGCAAACUUGUAUGGAUUGUUAAACUUAAGUAGAACAAGAAGUUUACUUGAGCACCAUGUCUAGUUCUGGGCUCUGCAGGACAGGACAGAUAUGGAGCUACUGGACAGAGUCCAGCAAAGGGUCACUGUGAUUUCAAAGGGCCUGAAACAUCUCUCCCACAAGGAAAGGCUGAGACAUCUGUGACUGCUUGGCCUGGAGAAGAGAAGAAUCAGGGAGGGACCUCGACAGUGCAGAGGAACACCUGGAGGGAAAGCGCAACCAGGACAGAGCCAGGAUUGUCUAAGCAGUGCCCAGUGACAGCACAAGAUGCAAAAGGCACAAACUGAAACACAGUUCUGUCUGAACAUCAGGAAACACUUUUUUACUGUGAGGGUGUCUGACCACUGGCACGGGUUGUCCAGGGAUGUCAUGGAGUCUCUGCACUCAGAUAUUCCAAAGCCACCCAGACACAGUUCUGGGCAACUCACCCUAAGUGAGAAGGGGAGGGGAGUUGGACAGAGUGAGGCUGGACCACUUCCAACCUCAGCCAUUCUGCCAUCAUAUAUAGUGAAUUGAAAUUUAAAAUGUCAAUUAAAAAAAAAAAUCUUGAGUAUCAACCUCAUUCUUUUUCAAUGUUAGUCAAGCCAACUGUUUCAUUCUUUGAGUGGGCAAGAACUAUACACAUGAAGUAAGAUUAUUUUAUGCUUUCCUAGUUUGCAGCUGUAAGUGAUGAUGCAUUAGCCUCCCACAGAGAGUAGUCAGUGAUCUGCAGAUUUUUAAAAGCAUCUAGACCAGGCUGCUCUCAGGUGCACAAAGCUGGACCUGUGUGAAUUUGCAUGACUCUGUGUUCCCUAACCUAGGCUGCUUACUUCUUAGGAAAAACUGAAAACAGCUGGGCUAGAAGGUUCUCAGGAAAAGUC
ensembl:lncRNA